rnacentral:rRNA from 1 species
UACGAAGGGGGCUAGCGUUGUUCGGAAUUACUGGGCGUAAAGCGAGUGUAGGCGGUUUCCUAAGUCAGGUGUGAAAGCCCCGGGCUCAACCCGGGAAGUGCACUUGAAACUGGGAGGCUAGAGUAUCGGAGAGGUUGGUGGAAUUCUCGGUGUAGAGGUGAAAUUCGUAGAUAUCGAGAGGAACACCGGUGGCGAAGGCGGCCAACUGGACGAAUACUGACGCUGAGACUCGAAAGCAUGGGGAGCGAACAGG